GACGAACGCUGGCGGCGUGCUUAACACAUGCAAGUCGAACGGAAAGGCCCUGCUUUUGUGGGGUGCUCGAGUGGCGAACGGGUGAGUAACACGUGAGUAACCUGCCCUUGACUUUGGGAUAACCUCAGGAAACUGGGGCUAAUACCGGAUAGGAGCUCCUGCUGCAUGGUGGGGGUUGGAAAGUUUCGGCGGUUGGGGAUGGACUCGCGGCUUAUCAGCUUGAUGGUGGGGUAGUGGCUUACCAAGGCUUUGACGGGUAGCCGGCCUGAGAGGGUGACCGGGCACAUUGGGACUGAGAUACGGCCCAGACUCCUACGGGAGGCAGCAGUGGGGAAUAUUGCACAAUGGGCGGAAGCCUGAUGCAGCAACGCCGCGUGCGGGAUGACGGCCUUCGGGUUGUAAACCGCUUUCGCCUGUGACGAAGCGUGAGUGACGGUAAUGGGUAAAGAAGCACCGGCUAACUACGUG
rnacentral:rRNA from 1 species